GGACUACUGGGGUUUCUAAUCCCGUUCGCUCCCCUGGCUUUCGCGCCUCAGCGUCAGAAGAGGUCCAGCACGCCGCUUUCGCCACCGGCGUUCCUUCGGAUAUCUACGCAUUUCACCGCUCCACCCGAAGUUCCGCAUGCCCCUACCUCCCUCGAGAUGACCAGUAUCGGAGGCGGUUUUCCGGUUGGGCCGAAAGAUUUCACCACCGACUUGGUCACCCGCCUACGCGCCCUUUAAGCCCAGUGAAUCCGAACAACGUUUGCACGGUUCGUCUUACCGCGGCUGCUGGCAC
rnacentral:rRNA from 2 species